UACAGAGGGUGCAAGCGUUAAUCGGAAUUACUGGGCGUAAAGCGUACGUAGGUGGAUUUAUAAGUCGGAUGUGAAAGCCCCGGGCUUAACCUGGGAAUUGCAUACGAUACUGUUAAUCUAGAGUCGUGUAGAGGGAAGUGGAAUUUCCGGUGUAGCGGUGAAAUGCGUAGAUAUCGGAAAGAACACCAGUGGCGAAGGCGGCUUCCUGGACACAGACUGACACUGAAGUACGAAAGCGUGGGGAGCAAACAGG
rnacentral:rRNA from 1 species